rnacentral:rRNA from 1 species
GCAUAACGCGAAGAACCUUACCGUGGGUUUGACAUACAACGGAAACCGGCAGAGAUGUCGGUCCGUUCGGGGUCGUGUACAGGUGGUGCAUGGCUGUCGUCAGCUCGUGUCGUGAGAUGUUGGGUUAAGUCCCGCAACGAGCGCAACCCUCGUCCUAUGUUGCCAGCACGUUAUGGGUGGGGACUCAUAGGAGACUGGCCGGGGUCAACUCGGAGGAAGGUGGGGAUGACGUCAAAUCAUCAUGCCCCUUAUGUCUUGGGCUUCACGCAUGCUACAAUGGCCGGUACAAUGGGCUGCAAUACCGUGAGGUGGAGCGAAUCCCAAAAAGCCGGUCCCAGUUCGGAUUGAGGUCUGCAACUCGACCUCAUGAAGUCGGAGUCGCUAGUAAUCGCAGAUCAGCAACGCUGCGGUGAAUACGUUCCCGGGUCUUGUACACACCG